CUGACACGUCCGAGUUGUCAUCCCGUUGCGUAUUGUUCUCCGGAUAUACUAGGAGUUUCCUGAUCAAGCUGGUCAUCAUGUUGGUAAUCAGGCGAGUCAUCACGUUGGUAAUCAGGCGGUUCAUCAUGUUGGUAAUCAGGUCUUUCAAUCCGUGAUGCCAGGUCCAUUGGAAUCGGGAUUUCCUUCAGCUGUUCUACAUAUGGUACUGGGUCCUCGGAUACCUCAUCAAGCACAAGACUGAUCAGGUCAUCCACAUAACCUGUAAAAAAAAUUGCAGACAAUAAUUUACCUGCUCUGUACAUUUUAAGGAUGUCUGUAAUUAUUUGUAUUUAUUAUAUUUGAAAAUAAAAUAUUACUGCUUACGGUA